AUGUCGUCCUCGUCGUCGCUGAUCCAAGGCAUCUCAAUCUCGGUCUCCGACGACGACGAGGCCUCCGGGAAGGUGCGCGUCCGCGUGCGCCGCAAGCGCAACCGCCACCCGGUCUCGGCCCACCGCCGCUUCCUCCGCCGCGCCGCGCGGCUGGGCGGCCCGCUCCUCCUCGCCGCCCUCGCCGUCUCCCUCUUCGCCUAUGAGUACUAUCGCCUCUCCCCGUUCUACUCAUCCACCUCGUCCCCGCCGCCGCCGUCUCCGCAGGCCUCCGGCAACCUCAGCCACGCCGACCGCGUCCGGAAGUCAUGCCUGAAGAUGCUCGAUACUGAGAUGCUUCAAAAUCUGGAACUUCGUGAACCCCCUGAACAAAAUCUGCCAGUCAAGAAAGUUGUGUACAGGUCCAGUCUGCCCCAUCUUGAAGAUAACAUUUCAUCCCAUAUGACGAAUUCGCGAUUUAAUUCAUUCACGGGAUAUCAGAGCCUUACUGAAAGAGAAGAGAGUUUCAAGCUAAAGGAAACUACAGCGGUUCACUGUGGCUUCUACAGUGAAAAUGGAGGGUUCAGAGUUUCUGAUGUAGAUAAAGAUUACAUGAGAUCUUGCAGAGUUGUUGUGGCCACUUGUGCGUUCGGUGGAGGGGAUGACCUUCACCAGCCUAUAGGGAUGACAGAAGUGUCUGUCAAAAAGGUAUGCUAUGUUGCAUUCUGGGAUGAAGUCACUCUCUCAGCUCAACAUGAGGAAGGUAAGAAGAUUGGUGAAGAUCUCAGGAUUGGCCUUUGGAGGAUCAUUCUUGUGAGAGACCUUCCUUUCACAGAUCAACGGCUGAAUGGCAAAAUUCCCAAGCUGAUAAGCCAUCGCCUUUUUCCUAUGGCAAGAUACUCUAUUUGGGUGGAUUCGAAAUCCCAGUUCCGGAGAGAUCCACUAGGAGUCAUUGAGGCCCUUCUGUGGCGCUCAAACUCUUCCUUGGCAUUAUCGGAACAUGGAGCUCGGAGCAGCUUGUAUGACGAGGGUAACGCGAUUGUUAAGAAACACAAAGCAACCCCAGAAGAAGUUAAAAUACAGUUGGAUCAGUACCGGCAAGAUGGCAUUCCGGAUGACAAACGAUUCAACGGAAAGAAAGCUCUUGCAGAAGCUUCGGCCAUUGUGAGGGAUCACGCCCCCUCGACGAACCUCUUCAUGUGCCUCUGGUUCAACGAGGUGGUCAGGUUCACGUCCCGGGAUCAGCUGAGCUUCCCCUACGUGCUGAGGCGCCUAAGGCUCCCCGGCGUCCACCUGUUCCCGGUGUGCGCCCGCAAGGAUCUCGUCAACAGCUUCGGCCAUCGGCGCAAGGUGAAGCCCCUUGCCAAGGAGGGAAGAUGA
rnacentral:rRNA from 1 species